ACCCAGCUGAUGAGUACAAAAUAGGAUGAAAUGCGCAUCCUGGAU
rfam:Schistosoma haematobium scaffold803_21, whole genome shotgun sequence.